CCUACGGGUGGCAGCAGUGAGGAAUAUUGGUCAAUGGGCGGGAGCCUGAACCAGCCAAGCAGCGUGAAGGAGGACGGUACAGCGUGUUGUAAACCUCUUUUGUCAGGGAAUAAAGCCUGGGACGCGUACCCGUUUGCGUGUACCUGAUGAAAAAGCAUCGGCUAAAUCCGUGCCAGCAGCCGCGGUAAUACGGAAGAUGCGAGCGUUAUCCGGAUUUAUUGGGUUUAAAGGGUGCGUAGGCGGUCUGUUAAGGCAGCGGUGAAAGGUCGGGGCUCAACCCCGGCCUCGCGUUUGAAACUGGCAGGCUUGAGUUGGAGUGAAGCAGGCGGAAUGCGCGGUGUAGCGGUGAAAUGCAUAGAUAUCACGAAGAACUCCGAUGGCGAAGGCAGCGUACUGGCGCGCAACUGACGCUGAUGCACGAAAGCGUGGGUAUCGAACAGGAUUAGAUACCCUUGUAGUC
rnacentral:rRNA from 1 species